AACCCCAGAAACGGCGCCCCACCCAUAACCCUCUUCUUCUUCUUCUUCGUUGAGCCAACCUUCAACUCGCCUGGAACUCAGGCGAGUUCACUCAAAUGGUCCCCUACCCUUCACGUUAUUUGAUUCCCAAUGGUUUCUGUCAGAAAAAUACGAAUAUCCUCUUCAAAUAUUUUUUCUACCGCACGAUUUGGUUAUUUUUUCUGUCGAUUUCAUAUUUAAGGUACAGCAUACUCAUCUGUGCCCUCUUAUUGGAUUUAUAAUUGAAAAUCUGAGUUUAUUCAUGUUACAUUUUUUUGUUUUGAAAUUAACAGAGCCAGCAGGUUUGGCUAUUGAAUUUGUCCAUUGCUUUCCCCUAUUUGUCUUCACUAUUUUCCGUGUGUUUGCAAGGCCAAUUGUUUGUAAUUGAAAUUACUGAACUUCCGAUAAUCUGGGUUCGAACUUGCUGAAAACAGUGCUACUAUGGUGUCAUUUUGUUUAUGUCUCAUCUUCCAAUUCAUUGUCACACCUGGUUCUAUUUGUUUGCCUUUAGGUAUUUGCAGUGCAAUCUAAAUUUUUUUUAUAUAAUGUGUUGACUAUGUGCUUGUGUUGCUUAUCCAGUUGCAAAUCUGGUCAUGCAUUAAAAUUGCCCGUAUGGAUAGAUGUUUAAUAUACUGUGUCAAGAUAUGCUAAGCAUGUUUGGCUGGCUAUAUUGGAAUUUAGAAGGAUGAGUAAUUUGGAUCUCUCAUUGUCCAAGAAUAAGGGAUAGAUACAUAUAUAAGGGAAUUUUCUUUGUUAAUGAAGAACUAGAGUUCUAAGUC
rnacentral:lncRNA from 1 species